rnacentral:rRNA from 1 species
GUGAGGAAUAUUGCUCAAUGGGCGAAAGCCUGAAGCAGCAACGCCGCGUGCGCGAUGAAGGCCUUCGGGUCGUAAAGCGCUUUUGAGAGGGACGAGAUAGGACGGUACCUCUGGAAUAAGUCACGGCUAACUACGUGCCAGCAGCCGCGGUAAAACGUAGGUGGCAAGCGUUAUCCGGAUUCACUGGGCGUAAAGCGCGUGCAGGUGGCUUCGUAAGUUGGACGUUAAAUCUCCCGGCCUAACCGGGAGGGGUCGUUCAAUACUGCGGGGCUGGAGGGCAGAAGAGGGGGGUGGAAUUGCUGGUGUAGUGGUGAAAUGCGUAGAUAUCAGCAGGAACACCCGUGGCGAAAGCGGCCCCCUGGUCUGCUCCUGACACUCAGACGCGAAAGCUAGGGGAGUGAACGGGAUUAGAUACCCGAGUAGUCC